rnacentral:lncRNA from 1 species
UCCUUUAUUGGUCUUAUUAUAAUUCCUUUUGUCCUGAACCGAUGCCAUUUAUAGUUUCCUAUUAAACCUCCUGUUUAAUAAAAAACUAGGGGGCAAUGUUGGGUCGUGAUAUUUCUCCCUUUGGGCCGAAUGGAUUGGGCCUACUUAUUCAGUUAGUCCAUUGGGUCUUCACUAUUGGGUGUUAACAUUAUUGGGCCUAGUCAUUUUAUUAUCUUUGUUAAGUCCUUCUAAUAUCAGACCAAAUCAGUGGGUCGACCCAUCAGAUAUUUAAAUAUCUACAUCUUUGACUUGUAAUGAUGAUAUAGUAUGACAGUUGACCAAGAUAUCUGCCAUGCAUUAAUGUGGAUGAGAUUAUAGCCGACCGGCGGUGUGAACAGUGGCCAAAAGCAGUGGAUAAGUUCCAUGCAGUCGGCAGAACCCAUCAGAUUAGGAGGAUAUGUCAGAUGGUAGUGGGUGGCACAGUAAUCCAAGCAAAGAUAUUAUCUCUUGGCGAGUAAGUCUUCACAAGGAGGUACGUUUUUGAUAUAUAUACAUUCACACAACUGAUAAUGGAGAAUCUAUCUCAUUACACUAGAUUUUAUCAUCCUCUUGAGUUAACCUUGUGAACAGACAUACUUACUCUCACGCCUGAGCUAUCCCCCGGCGGUCCGACCGUCAAGCUUGUGGUGUUUGUCGUGUUUACUGUGCAGGAUCAGGACGUCUUACGUGAUUGGGACGUGGAGAAAGAUCUUGGCGUUAACACCCACCAAUAUUUUUCAAUAUUUUAAUAUAUGUACAUAUAAUAAAUUCAUUCAAAAGCGGUACACCAAUGCUUCAUGCAAUUGGUUCAGAGCAGUGCGGCACACCAAUGUUCAACAACGAAUAUCAGUAUGCACCACACCAAUUUUGAUUUAUUUAUUUUUUACAUUAAAAUCACAUCGUAUAUUUUAU